rnacentral:tRNA from 1 species
GGCUCCAUAGUGUAGUGGUUAGCACGUCUGUUUUACAUGCAGAAGGUCCUGGGUUCGCUUCCCAGGUGGAGCCA